AAUGUUUGUGAGCAAUUAAUUUUAAUGGUUAUGUACUCUCAAUUUCCCUCUGUUUUUCUCCUUAGCAGAUUCUAGGUCUGUCAAAGAAAGUGAAGACCUAGACAUCAGAUGUCACUGUGGACAGAAGGAGACAUAGACCCCUGAGUUGAGGUUUUCAAAUACAAGUUAAUAGGCAUUCAGAAGUUGCUAAGUGGCACAUAAGCAGUGAUUCCAUAAAUCUCUGAAGUACAGUAUUGGCUUGGUGACAUGAUGCCUUUAUUCCCUCAUUGAAUAGUUCCACAGAGGUGCUGUUAUUUAUUCCAUCCAGCCACACAACAUCUAUUUGGUGAGUGCCUGUUACAGAAGGAACUGGUAAAGAUGAAAAAGAAAUAAAACAUGUCUUCUGCC